AAAUGGUGGAUUUAUUGUUAACUUUAAUUUUUUUUGGAGGUUUUUUUAAAUGAAACAAGGUACAGUAAAAUGGUUUAAUUCAGAAAAAGGUUUCGGAUUCAUCGAAGUUGAAGGAGAAAAUGACGUAUUCGUACACUUCUCUGCAAUCCAAGGUGAAGGUUUCAAAACUCUUGACGAAGGUCAAAAAGUGGAAUUCGAAGUUGUAGACGGCAACCGCGGACCACAAGCUGCUAACGUUGUAAAACUUUAAUUUUUAAUAAAUUAAAAUUAUAAUCGUUAAUUCUGAGGCAUUCAUUUAUGAAUGCCUCUUUU
rnacentral:other from 1 species